rnacentral:rRNA from 1 species
GGGCGCAGCCUGGAUCCAGCCAUACCGCGUGGGUGAAGAAGGCCUUCGGGUUGUAAAGCCCUUUUGUUGGGAAAGAAAUCCAGCUGGCUAAUACCCGGUUGGGAUGACGGUACCCAAAGAAUAAGCACCGGCUAACUUCGUGCCAGCAGCCGCGGUAAUACGAA